rnacentral:rRNA from 1 species
ACGGGGCCCGCACAAGCGGUGAGUAUGUGGUUUAAUUCGACGCAACGCGCAGAACUUACCUGGUCUUGACAUCCCGGGAAUCUUGUGGAAACACGAGAGUGCCUCGCAAGAGGAGCCUGGAGACAGGUGCUGCAUGGCUGUCGUCAGCUCGUGUCGUGAGAUGUUGGGUUAAGUCCCGCAACGAGCGCAACCCUUAUCAUUAGUUGCUACGCAAGGGCACUCUAAUGAGACUGCCGGUGACAAACCGGAGGAAGGUGGGGAUGACGUCAAGUCCUCAUGGCCCUUAUGGGUAGGGCUUCACACGUCAUACAAUGGUCGGUACAGAGGGUUGCCAAGCCGCGAGGCGGAGCCAAUCCCACAAAGCCGAUCGUAGUCCGGAUUGUUCUCUGCAACUCGAGAGCAUGAAGUCGGAAUCGCUAGUAAUCGCAGGUCAGCAUACUGCGGUGAAUACGUUCCCGGGUCUU